UUAGAAUGCCAAAACUGUAUACAUCUGACUUGAUAGAAAACUGCCCACGCAUGGCAUACUCCGGUGCCAUAUACCCACUGUAAUAAGAUGAAUACAUCAUUUAAAACACUUUUUAAUCAACCAUCAUUGGAAUGCAUAGGUUAUUCUUUUAGAUGGAGAAUGUAUAAGUUAUCAAGACUUGUACAUACAAUGUUCCAACAACUCGGCUCGUGAUGUCCUGAGNNNNNNNNNNNNNNNNNNNNCCACUGUAAUAAGAUGAAUACAUCAUUUAAAACACUUUUUAAUCAACCAUCAUUGGAAUGCAUAGGUUAUUCUUUUAGAUGGAGAAUGUAUAAGUUAUCAAGACUUGUACAUACAAUGUUCCAACAACUCGGCUCGUGAUGUCCUGAGUUUGGUCCCUACCAAAAAGCCUAGCCAAACCAAAGUCUGAAAUCUUUGGGUUCAAAUCUGCAUCUAAUAAGAUAUUGCUGGCUUUUAAAUCCCGAUGUAUAAUUUUUAAUUGAGAUUCUUCAUGUAGGUACAGUAGGCCUCGAGCAAUCCCGCCAAUGAUCUUGUUCCUUUUCCCCCAGUUUAGCUGUUCGCGCUUCUCAGGAUCUAUGUCAUAUACAAACUUGAUAAUCAAUUAAGGCAAUACAUAUUAGAGUAAGUCAAAGAGGGCUUGAAUGUAAGAUGGUCAGAGAUCUGUUUCUUCUGCGCUAACAUAAGGGUUACAGUAGAAAUACAUCUAGAUUUAUUUAAAAGAGGAGAGCCUACAUUUAAAACAAACACCAAAGUUCUAGAUUCAGGAUCAAGAUAAGUUAUAGUUCGGCUCUAUUAUUUACGUUCAUUGCACAACUUUCUAAAGGUCAGUUUUGUGCGGGAAGAAAUUAUACCAAAAAGAAUGGUGUCCAGGCUUCUGUUAGGCACAUAUUCAUAAACAAGCAACUUCUCUUGUUCUUCCAAGCAAACACCCAGAAGCCUUACAAGAUUCCUGUGCUGGAGCUUUGCAACUAAAACUAGCUCAUUUCUGAGCUCUCUGAAUCCUUGUAAUGAGCUAGUUGAUAACUUCUUGACUGCUAUUUCUUGUCCAUCAGAUAGUAGUCCCUAUACAGAAUCAUAAGAGUAACAGGAAUUAUAUAGAACCAGAAGAAAUUAAAGAUAUAUAUAGAAUUGAUUAGGAUCAAGAAGAUUACAUAUGAUAAAUUUUUACAUUGGAGCACAAUUCUGUUAAUAUUAUUAUAGAGAAAUUAAUGCAAUAGGCUACCAGGAUACCUUGUAAACUGCACCGAAGCCACCUUCUCCAAGUUUGUUCUCUUCGGAGAAGUUAGCUGUUGCAAGUCGUAGUGUGGAUAUAUCAAGUAAUAGAGACUCGGCACUUGCGAUUUCCUCCAGGCUACUCCCAUCUACUGAAAGAGCACAGAAUUUUGAAACUAUUAUCAAAAAUUUCUUGCUGAAUCUCAGGACUUAUGAAAAUAAGACGAGAUAAAUGGACUAGGAAAAAAAAUUCUGAAAAUGAGGUUGCUCAGAUAAACUGAGUCAUCUCUAAAUCAAGACCAAUAAUAGGUCGUCUCUCAAGGUGGUGACUUGUGGACUGCUGCACCUAGUUUUACAUGUUUAUCGAUGGCCAUUGGAAUCAGUAAUCAAACAAUGCAUGGCCUUUUUUGUCAUAACUCCUAAAGUAACUUCACCUUAGAUUUCAUCCAUCUUCCCUCUUGGUAGAACUUAACUGAAUCUCUCCAACAAAAAUGUAAGGAAAAAGAGCUGGAUGCUUUGCUAAACAAUAGAAAGCAAUGGGUUACUUACAGGGUAACUUUACAACUGGCUUCCUCCUCCUCCAGAAGCAAAUGCAAAUUAUUGAGAUCAGCACGAAGGCAGUUGCUAGAGGUAUAGCAAUCGCAAGGACCAUACCCACGGCAUUUUUCUUCUUUCCUGCGUUGAUAAAUGACCAAUUUCAUCUAUAUUUCCGUAUCAACAUGGCACAUUGAUGAUAUCAAAACAUGUAGCUGCGGGUUGCUACAUACAUCAUAUAAGUGCAUAUUUUUGUGCAUAUGUUUGUGGCACCUAUGGGAAUGAGGCCAGUGGUAUUGUGGGAAAUCAUUGAUUAGUAUUUACGCUACAAACCAUAUGAUUCUUCUUUGGCAGGCUUGCUGACUAGCGUUUUGGGUAUGUGGAUUAGGUGUGAAGCAGAACAACAAGUUCCAAAAAGGAUUGCCAUUUAAGAGGAAUCAAUGAGCGAAGUUUUGCAUGUUCCGGGGUUAAUAAUCAGAAAGUGAUCCUAUGCAAGUGUUAAAAUGAUGCAAUUAUGACAGUGUGAACUACCUUUGAUCAAACAGUAAUGUACUGGUGCUACCUGGCAAACCCUUAAAUACUUUAAAGAAAAGGUUCGCUACUUGUGCUGGUUUGUGGAAACGACAUAUGUAUGUUACGGCACUAGUUAGCCUUAGUGCCUCGCUCUGUUGCUUAUAUAAUAUUGCUUUCGUUUUGUACAACCGGCCAAUAAGGAAGUGUUGAUCUUUACGGUUACUUCAAAUCACCCACCACUUCAUAUUUUAUUCAUAAUCAACCAAGAAUCUGUAUGCAUAUUUCUGGAUUAAUGUUUAACAUCAAAGGAGAAUUCUUUAAGUUUCAAUCAACGUAUCCUAGACUCUUAUCUACUUCUCAACUGAGUCACCGUUGAUAUAUAAACUGACGCUGUUGCAACCAGUUCACUGGUACCAAUAGAAACAAUUUUACUCCCCUUACCUUCUUCAUUAGGAGGGUUAAUAAGUGGAGGCACUACGGGGGCUGGCGCCAGUGUGUUCCCCAGCGGCUCCUCAAGUCUCAGGGUCGCUGCCCCGUCGAAGAACUUGUAUGUCUCGUACCUAUAAUUGCAGCUCGCUGUGAUCACCCUCCCUCCCUGCUUCCCCUCUAGCUGUGUUGGUCUCGGCUGAAGGAUACUUUGGAGGCACUGCUGGCACUGGCUGGGCGACAGGUCCUGUGUGCACUGCACCAGCCCAUAUAUCUCAGGAAAAGGAGCCUUGGUAGAAUUCACCAUCUGCCCGGUGGCGAACCUCCUCGUCGAGUUGGAGACGGCCCAAUUGGUGAUCGCGCUCAUAAGCUCGUCCACAAUCUUGUCGAACCGGCUGCGGUCGGUCACGUUGUUGGCGCUCCACCCGAACACCCGCAUCGAGGUAUCGACGGUCGAGAAGAAGCGCUGGUUGGAGUAGCGAAGGAGGCAGUCAUCGUAGAUGACGGUGGCACCUUUGUUGUACGCGCAGAGCUGGGGGGCGUCUUGGAUUGCGUUGCUGAGGCAGGAGCGGCAGACGGAGGCGUUGGUGUCUCCGCGGCACAUAGCGAGGCCGUAGAUUUGGUCUGGGAUCUGGCCGACAGUGGCGUUGAGGAAGCCACCGGAGAGAGAAGUGUUGGAGGCUAGGGAAGGGAGGAGGAGGUUCAUGAGGUUGGACUCAUAGGUGCUGUUGGCGGUGUAGUUGCCGGUGGUGCCACACUGGGUGUAGAGGGGAUUGCUGGCAGUGGGAGGGGAAAGUAAUAUGAGGAAGAGAAGGCAUAGGAAGAAAGGGAAGGAAACAUGGCGAAACGAUACCAUGGACGAUGGUUGCAGCGAAAACACGGUGGCUCUGGACACGGCAGAACGGAGAUGUUAUGUCUGGCUAUGGAAACCGGGUGCGAACGUCAGGGACCUGCGAGUCGGCGCGUUGGAAGGAAGCUGGAAAUGCCUUGGGAAAGAUUGGGAGCAGCAGUGGUCGACUGGGUCAAAGCGACAUCCUGGACUGUGAGGCGCCAUUGGACGAGUUGAAUUAUGGUGAAUUAGGUUUCAGUCCGCAGGCAUGCCUACGUGGAUUUGAUCGAUAGGCGUUAAGACCAGCUGCAAUGCCCUUGCCAAAUUACAAUUAUACCCAGCGUUCAUGAUUUUGCCCAACCAAACUAGAAACAACCCGCAAGGGCCAUGGAAUGCCCACCAUGUGCUCGACUGGUGUUCUCACGUUUGUAAAAUUCGCAGCCUAAGUCUCACGUUUGUCGCGGUCAAGUCUCGUGCUAAAUAUAUAGCAAAUAUAAACACGCAACAUUUUUUUUGGUAAAUAACACGUAACCUUUGUGGAAGAAAAAGAAAGGACUGAUUCACUGAAGCCUUUUAGACCUGAGGAAAGGUUGUUGGUCAACAUAUGUGGGCCUUGGAAAACUAACAAGAAACAAGAGGAUCCCCUUCAAAUUACGGAAGAGGGGAACAAAAUUACUAUAGUGGACCCUCUAGAAAGCAGGAAAUUACGACCAGGUCCAGUGGACCUUUCCAAAUGUCGAGGCAUGUCCCGUAGAUAACAGGCGUCCCUCAUUUGAUCUUGAGUUGUUUAAAUAGGAGGGAAAUUUGGCGAGCGACUAUCACAGUGAAUGCAUCGUGCAGGGCCUUUAAUAUCACACCAUUUCAGCUAGUUUAAGAAUCUUAAAGCAGAUGCCAUAAAAGGGAACCAAUAUAGAAGGUUCCGUUAGAUCUUCAGAGGACAAACUCACCUUGUCCCUCCGAUCUCUUCUUGAUCCAACUGCUGCUUGCUUCUCGUUCUCGGGUCCCGUGGGUGGCAUACACUCUUAAUCCUGAAUUUUUUUCAAGAUUUUUCUAGCUUUAUUAAAUAAUUAUCUUUUCUGAUAACACCUCUCAUUUGAUACAUUGUUAGUCUGAAAUCUAGAUUAACUGGGUAUGCUUCGUUCCGUCUUAAUUGCUAUCUCUUUGCGUUCCCAUUGGCUGCAGCGGAACCGAACGCUCAGGAGACGUGUCUGAAUUCCAGCAGCUGUAUUUUUUUGACAACGAUAAGCGCUUGCUGAAAGCUUGCGUGAUUCGGAUUGUUGCACGGGUCGAGGGGAGACUCUGAAUGUUCACAGCCGGAAAGGGAUUUCAUCUUUGGAUAAAGUGAUGCUCCCGAACCCUGGAGCUGCAAAGGAAGUUUUCACCAUAUGGAGUUCCAAUGCACCAUGGUUAUUGUUUAACGUCUAGAAUUUAUUUUUGUUUGUAUUAACAAACCAAAAUUUUAACAUUUCAUGUUUGUUAGCUCUAACUGAUUGAAGACAACUUUCAUAAGAUAGAUAAUAUUAAGGACCAUGAACUUUGAUUUUUCAUUGGCCAAUUAAUUGAAUGGUUCGCUUCCUGAACGGUUAAAUAGCAAGAGGAUAUGCCCAACAUGUAUCGUGAUUAGUGCUUAAUGUUGCAUUUUGCUUGAUUCCCUCAACACAAUUAGUAUUCGUUGCUACAUCUGGAACUUAGGCGGCUGGGAGUUUGUGUGGGUGUGUAAGUUUUAGGUGUUAAAUAACCACUACAAUGUGUUCAUGCAUUCAUGCUAGCUUUGAACCUCCCAAAGACAGGGUGGGGUGCUCCAGUUGACAUUUUGGCCUAAGGUAUCACGCCUCUGGCCCCCAAAAAAAUCAUAAUAAAAAUAAUUUGAAGGCCUGACAGCCGCAUAUUGAUAAAAUUGACCCUAUAGACAUACAAAGAGGUCUAUCCAUCAAUGAAUUCAAUAUAACCUAAAAAUUAUACAAUUCAUAUAUAAGAGACAAUAAAUAUCAGAAUAACUAAACAAUUAAUCCAAAAGAUCACAUAUGCUGCCAAUACCAUCAUAAGUCAUACCAUAGGGUUUUUCUUCUAAUUUUUUACAAUGAAAAACUUUUAGUAUUUAAGUUAUUUAAUACAUCAACCAAAAAAUAUAAAGAUAUAUAUAUGUGCCCAUUGAACCAGUCCACCUAUCUAUAAAAUCGGCCUCACCUUUAUUAUUCCCCAAAAUGCUGAUAACAAGUUAGUUAGAAUUUCCUAUAUCUGACAAACAACAAGUCAAGAUUGUGAUCUUCACAACUCAGUAAAUAAUAGGUAUACUUUAUAAAACUUAUUCUAGUCAUAUUAAUAAUGCAACUCAAUUAGCUUAUACAAGAUAUGAUACAUGUACAUAUCCAAUGUCAUAGUCAUACAAUUAAUGGUGUCCAUAUCAAAAUCACGUGCCAUCUAUUCUAUAGUAUCGACAUAAAAAAUUAAUAAGUCAUAUUAAAAUUUAUUACGUGUUCAAGUAUAUUAUAUUCAAAUUUGAGUAUGUAUAUUUUUAGCUUUACAGCCCAUGCUGCGGUGCAUUUACAUCCUUGUAGCUCAGGUAUCACCAUGAUUAUCCUCAUCAUGGGAUUGCCAUAAUAUUCCAAGUAUUAGAAAUCAUCAUAAUCACCCUCGCGGUGGGGUUGCCGUACUAUAUCCCGAUGGCUAGUUGUCACGACAAUCACUCCCGCAUCGGAGAUUUAUACAAUCAAGUUCAGAUUUAAAUACAGUAGAGCUGAAAGUCAAAUGAUACAUAUGAAUAUAUAUAAUUUAUACAUUUCUUUUCUUUUAGAUAUAGCAUUGAAAUAUAUAAUUAAAUAGGUAGUAUUUAGAAUUUUAUAUGCUUGAUCCAAUCAUAAUAGGUAUCACUAUCUAGUUCAAUUUACAGAAUUCAAAUAACCAAUCAAUUAUCCAUAUUUAUAAGAAUUCAUGCAUGUUUAACUCUAAAUUAAUCACAACAACUGUAUCAUUUCAAAAAGAUGAUAUAAUUUUCAAUUAAUUUUGAUUAAUUAAUAUAAAAUAUAAAUAUUAUUUACCUUGCAACACCUACAACAGAUUAUUUAACGCUUCACUUGGGCUCUUCCCAACCUAAUAAUCCCAAAGCAUGCAUAUGUAUGUAAUCAAUGCCAUGCUAUAGCUUAAUAAUAAUCUAUAAAAUUUUCCUAAAACUCUAAAAUCUGCAUUUUGGGGUAACCAUCCUUUCCUUUGCAUUAGUUCCAUUCCAUGAUUUGUUUAUCCUAAGUAGUAACAUCCAAAAAUUUUCAAAUUGUGUGGGUUGAUUAAGCAAUGAGUUGACAACUCCCUAUUAAAUUUUCAGAUCAAAAUACCUAGCUAUCUAGGAGUUUAAAAAAAAAAAAGAAAAGAAAAAAGAUCCUGUAUCAAACCAAUGAAAUAUCUGUUGGCCUUAUAUUAAUUUUAAGUAACAUCAUUUUCUCAUCUGGGCACAACAUGUAUUCUUUCUAUUAUUUCCGAUUGCACUUCUACUUUUGUUAUUGAGUUACCUGUAUAAAUCCAAGGGACAUGAUUUUUAGUUCCUGUUUUUUAGUCUCACCUUUACGACAUGCUUAGCACUAGAUGUAUCCAAAACGGAUAUGGUAACCAAGGACGACAGCUAAAAUACUUAAUAGUUUAAAGGGUUGGUAUAUAUUCACAAGUAAUAGUCUUUGAUCAAAUUUCGAUAAAUUCCAAACUGUUGUUUACUAAAUAGCAAAGAAGAUCAGGACAACAAUUGAGAUGAAAUGAUCGACACAACAUAGAAAGAAAUAUAAUCCCAAGGGAAGUACCAAUGCCCAAGGAAAAGAAAGAGGAGCCUGAUGAGGCUCCCAAAAAAUAAAACGACCUUAAUCCCUCUCUUCUACAUGUUAAUAGGAACCAACAUAAGAAGAGCAAAUUAAGGAGACUUACCAGAGGCUUAAGAGGAAGAAGGAAAGAGAAGCACAGCUGCCUUGAACACUCGUGGGAGAAGAGGGAACAUUCGAAUAGACAAGAGGCGUGAGAGAAGAUGAAGAGGACGAGAAUGAGUAAGAGAGAAAAGGGUUGAGGGCGAGAGAGACGGAAGGGAGCAAGAGAGAAGGAAGAAAACAGAGAAAGGAUGAUGGGGGUUUGGAGUUGGAUAGCUAGUGAGGAAGGAAAAACGGUGCUCCGUUCUUUUCUUCUUUUUUUUUUUUUUCUUUUUCAAACAAAACUCACCGCCUCUCAACAAAGUUUGUUAUAUAAUAUUUAGUGAUCACAGAUUGCUAAAGACAUGAAAGCCCGUCAGAAGUAUUGAAAACUAAAGGAACAUGCUGGGUCACACCGACCAAUAAUUUCAACCAACGCUUAUUGCCUCUUGGCAGCGGGUUUUUUUUUUUUUUUUCAAUGUAAAUGGAGAAGGAAAAUUUCUGCCCCAGAUUUCUUAAAAUAAGAUCGUAAAUAUUGUUUAGCACAUAGGUAUGAUAGUCAUGCAAGAAAAACAGAGAAUAGGGAGUUACAAGGCAACCUGAGAAUGCCAAGGUGAUGUCCUUUUACAAGCUGGGGAUAGGCGUUGCGUUAAUAGUUGUUCCCUGGGCCACGAAGUCCGGAGCUGCCUCCUUUCAGUUCGCUUCAAGUGCCCUGUAAUUGUAUAUAUAGUUGUAUUCCCCCAAUCAAUGGUUAGCAUGCAUCCUUCGCACAGUUCAAAAAACUUUGCCUACGGUAGAAUAAAUCUAAUUUGUCCCAAGUUCUCAGCCACGAGAACUUUGAUAUGAUAGCACAACCAAUCGAAAACUUUCACUUUCUCAGGAAUCCAGGGCCUCCAAAUUAUUUUCCCGAGAAAGUGACAAGAUUCCUCAUGGCUCAGGAAGUAGUGGCAAUGUCUGAAAGCUGAUUUUACCAAUUAUUUUUUGUGACAUUUGAAUUUUUAUUAUACAUAAAGAACAAAGGACUAAGUCUCCCUUUAAAAGCUAGCUAUCAAAGUAACACUUUAACGAGUUGUCUAGUCGCUUAUUGCUUUAGAAAAAGUCAAAACAGUUGAAACUUUUUUUUUGAUGAAAAAAAAAAAAACAGUUGAAACUUCAUGCGGAUUCAUUGACACUUCAUUCCUAUACUUUGAAAGACAUGCUUAUAUAAUGAAAUUAAUGUAACAAAUUGUGGUCAUGCAGAUAUUAUAAAAUGCAAUUAUUUCCAUAGCUAGUGGAUAUCUAUAAUUUGGCAGCUGGGCCAUUUCAAGACUUCCUUCUAAAGUAGCGUAAUAAUAAUUCUAAGUUUCUGAGUUAGCUUUUCAUGCCUUGGUCCCCUUGAAAAUAGCAAAAUAUGUAAUAAUCAUAACUUUAAAAGAUGCGCCCCUCGAACUUAUGAUUUGAAACGCAUAUAAAACUCUUUAGGAAUAAUGAAGGCCAAUAUCUGGUUAAACUUUUUCUAUCUUGAUGUUGUAAAAUAGAUUGCACGACUCAGAUAACAUAAAUAAUAUGAUUGAAUCAUAAAUAAUAUGUUUCUCCCACAAAUGUACUUGUGAGUGAAUACAGAAAAUACUUGUAGUUUAUACAAUUUUGUUCUUUAGUUUUAAGAUGGAUAAUCAUAAGAGUUUGCUAUUUUGUCUAACAGAACCUCUUUCCAUGGACAGGAUUAUUUUUUUNUUUUUUUUUUUUUUUUGGAGCCUAAAUUGCAGGUUGUGCUAGCUUCUUGCUACUUAUCUUGGUCUCAACGUUGAUGACUGUGAGGCUUGGAAGGAAAGCUGGAUGCCUUGCGAAAGAUUGGAAGUAGCAGUGUUUGACUUGGCCAAAGCGAGAUUUUGGAUUUAUUUAGAGGGACGUCACACUCCAAAUCCACCCGACGGAUCAGCGAUGUGACACCACCCGAAAAUUUUAGAAUAUAAUCCUAGAAAAAAGAACAUAGCGAUGGUCAUCACGUUAGCGCGUUGGUGGUCCUCGCAGUGCAUUUUCAUCCAUUUAUGGAGGAGAAGAUUUUUAAAAUUAUCCAAUAAGGAUUGCAUACGCUAAGUUUAAUUUGGACGGCUUCGAGACAGGACGCAAGCACUUUUCUGUUGUUUAAAAGCACUAAUGCUGUUUCAUGGCUACAUGAUAUUAGUGAAGAUGUGGAAAAUAAAGACAUCGGAGCUCUAUUUUUUGAUUUGGGUGCACUUAGAGUCACCAUUGAUGGAUUCUCUGAGGCAAACAAACUCGGAGAAGAUGGAUUUUGAUUCAGUUUAUAGAGUAUAAUAUAGAACAGUUAUAUUAUGUCACGUUUGUCACAAAACAAUGAAAAUUUUUUUUCGUCAGCAAGAUUUAGUACUAACAUCAGCAUAUUAGUAGCAAAAAAAAAAAAAUUAUCUCAAAAUAAAUUUUGAUAGACGAAAAAAAAAAAAAUAUUUUUGGAAGAAUUUUUUUUUCUUUUGCCAUUAAUGUGCUGAUGUUAGCGCUUAUCUUUUCUGGUGGAAAAAAUAACUUUCAUUGAUUUGUGACAAAUGUGACGUGAUAUAACUAUUAUAAUGAAUAUUUAUUUGUGAAGAUAGAAAAUAAAAAAAUCAAAUUUUAUUUUUGAAUUUGGGUGCACUUAGAGUCACCAUUGAUAACCUCUCCGCGCCAAACAAACUUGGAGAAGAUGGAUUUUGAUCCAGUUUAUAAGGUACAAUAUAGACUGUAAAGCUGUAACCUACUCUAUUCCUAUUUUAUAUCGUGAAUAUUGUUUCCAUUCAAUUUAAACACAACACUUUCUUAUAUUUUGCUGCAUCUGCAAUAGAGAGCACUAUCAAAUGGCCAGGAAAUAGGUGUGAAAAGACUUUCCAGAAGUUCAUGGCAAGGAAUUUCAUAGUUUUCUACCAAAAAAGAAAGGAUUUCCAGAGUCCAGAAAUGAGAUACUUUUGUAGCUAAGCUUGAACACAAAAAUCUUGUGAAGAAAUUGGGUUGUUGUUUCAAAGAAAAAAGAAAUUAGCUAACUUGUUUAAGAAUUUCUUCCGAAAAUCAUGACACAUUUCUAUAUGGUAUGCUUGGCAUUCACUUUUUUCGAUGCUAUAAAAAUCUUGCAUUUUUUUGUAACAAACUGAAACUGCCACCAUGUUCCUGCAUUUUAUUAUAUAUAUAUAUAUAUAUAUAUAUAUUUAUAUAAAAGAGGUCAUCUGUUCUGUCUAUUGCAACCAAUCCCCCAUAGUCCAAUCGUCGGGGUCGCGCACCUGCAAGAAAGGUCUUCACUGACCGGAGAUGCCUCUGACGGGGACCCUCCGACGGUCAAAUCAGAGAGGAGACUAGACAACAGUGAAAAAUCAGGGCCUCAGCGGGGGAGAAAGAGAGAGCUAGAGAGUUCAAGAGCUUAAAGGCGCUUCAAAGAGCUUGAGAAAAAUUCUGAGAGCUUGCUUACCAAAACUGUUGCCUUACCNNNNNNNNNNNNNNNNNNNNNNNNNNNNNAUCAAAUCGUCGGAGGCUGUGAAAUCACCGUGGGUUGUCAAGUCAUUGGAAUUAAUCCAUGUUCUUGACAGGACAAUGCCCCAGGACGGUCGUACCACAUGUCCUUGGUGGGGCAAUAGCCCACAGUGGUUGUACGGCGGUUAGAUGGGUUGCCGACUAUAUGUCGGUAUUCGAUUGUCGAGACGUCGGGUAGUAUCUCGGAGACAUCGUCGGUCGAUCUGGUAUCUUGUGGAAGUCGGACAUCGGCUGCCACCUCCGACAGUGAGUCGGUGAUAUGGGUUCGACCGUUCGAUCAGAUAUUAUCAGCAGUCAUUGUCAGAGUCAUUUGUCCGUCAGAUGGGUAGAGUCGGGUAUCGGCUAUCGGAUUGAUCUAAAGAUAAAUCGAUGUACAGGAAUUAGUCGGUAUAUCCCAACAAUCAUUGUCCAAUUCAUGAGUCCUAUGUGGGAGUCGAUGAUUGGUUGGCUUGCUUCAUAGUGCGUACCCUCUCUUGCAUUGAACCAAUCACCAACGACCAUGUCGAACUUGUGAACUGAGUCGGAAAUGACUUGUCCGUAGGUAGCAGUAGUUUCUAUUUUAAAAAGCUAUAUGGUAACAAGUCACAGGGCAUUUUGGGAACAAAAAUCAUAUCAGACGGGCAUCAGAAUAUAUAUAUUUUUAUAAUUUUUUUUAAUAUUUUUUUUUAAAAAAUAAUUUUUAAAAUUAAAUAAUUUUUAAAUAAAAUUAUUAGUCUCGUAAUUUAAAAAAAAAUAUCAUUUUUUUUAUUUUCAAUAUAUAUUUUUUACUAGUACAUAUUAUAUAGUUAUAUAAUACACAAUAAGUAAAUUAAUCAUGAAACAAAUUAAUACAUAUUUUUAAAUAAAUUAAUAUAUAAUUUUUAAAAUAUAAAAUUUAUAAUACAUAAUACAUGAUCAGAUAAUACAUAUUUAGUAAAUUAAUUAUUUAAUAAUAUAAUAUAUAUUUUCAAAUAAAUUGAUAUAUAAUUUUUGAAAUAUAUGUUUGUCAUUAUAUAUUACUUGGUCGGAUAAUACAUAUUCAUUAACUUGCUAAUAUAUAUUAUAAACUUUUUUACUACAUAUUUAGUAGUGAUCCAAUAUAUAUCUCUAAGUAAAAAAUAUAUUUUAAAAAUUAUAUAUGGAUUUAUUUAAAGGUAUAUAUUGGAUUAUACUAGAUGUGUAUCAAAGAAGCUUGUAGUAUGUAUUAAAAAGUCGAUCAAUGCAUAUCAUUAAAUUAUAGAGUAUGAAUUGAUGAACAUAAUAUUUUAUAAAUUAUGUAUCAGUUUAUUUAGAGCUAUGUGUUGGAUUGCUAGAUGACUAAUUUACUAAGUGUGUAUCACCUGACCAUAUACUAUACGUUAGUAAAUUUCAUAUUAUAAAAAUUAUAUUUUAAUUUAUUUAAUAAUAUAUAUUAAUUUUUUUAAUAAUUAAUUUGUUUAGUAUGUAUCACUUGGCCACAUGUAGUAUGUGUUAGUAAAAAAAUAUAUUAUAAAAAUUAAGAAGAAAGAGAAUGUGUGCUUUUUAUUUUUAAUUACAACACCGAUGAUUGCGUUAGAACGAAAAAUUUUUGAUUUUUUGAUUUCUCUUUUAAAAUUAAUAUUAAAAAAAUAAUAAAAUAAGAAGCUCAUCCCUUUUUUUUUUUUUCCUCUAUUGCACUCCCAUAUGAUUUUUGUUCGUAUAUUUUUCUUAAGAAAAGACGGGUCAGAUGUAUCGUCUAAGCCAUAUAAAAAUAAGCUUUAUAUAAUCUCACUUAUUUUUAGUCUCAUAAUCUCUUUAUCAUAGACAUCACUUCAUACUAUUCUGGAAAACGUGUUUGGCGUCGAGCAGCCAUAACAAAUAGGGAUCAAUACUUUUGCUAAUUAUCUUGAUAUAGUUAGACGAAUGACGAUCAUGAGUCCAGUUGCAUGCCAGAUUUUUUUUUUUCCCCACUCAAUUUGGUAAUUUUGGUUAUAUUAUGAUAUCAUUUUACGGGAUAAUCCUGAAUUAAGCAAACAACGUCAUUCUUCUGUCUAAUUUCAUCACUAUGGUAUUAUUAUAUGCUUUGACUAGGUUUUACUUGGAUGAUACAGAUCCCAUCAAAUGUGGACUACUAGAUUGGGGGAAGAGCGAUAACAUUAUUGGGUACUUUUCAAAUAAAUCAGAUGUUUUUAGCUUUGGAGUUUUAGUUCUAGAAAUUGUGUCCGGUCAAAGAACCAGCGACUUCCGUGGUUCAGAGAAUUCUACAAGACAUGAAGCAAAAGUUAGGGAUUAUAAAUUGCCUUCCGUAAUCUCUCCAAGCUUAUUCUUUCAUCAUGACUAGUCUUGUUGAUUGUUUGUUAAACAGGCAUGGGAGCACUGGAGCAAAGGAAAGGCCCUGGAAUAAUGGAUCCCUGCGUAGGUGGAUCGUACCAUAGGCAAGAAGCUCUGACAUGCAUUCACAUUGGAUAAUUCUGUGCUCCUUGAAGACAUGAGGAAGAGACCUUGCAUGGCAUCGGUGGUUCUCUCAUGCUAAGCAAUUACUCUGCGACUCUUCCAACUCCAAUAACUGCAUACUUCUUUGUUCGAGGUAGAACAACCGCUGAGUGAGAUUACGGCUUUGAGAACUACCGAUAUUGAUUCCACUCUAUCUGGCUUGUUAUCUAUAUGCAACAUUUCAAUUACCGAAAUGGGCCCCGUUGAGAAAUUGGGUGCAAAUUUGGAUAUUUUAUCAUUGAUGAGAAAAAGGAUAAGCUUUUCAGAGGAGGCUGACGAUAGAUCGAACUAAGAAUGAAUACACUGUAUCUUGUGUUUCUUUUUUCUUUCUUCUCUACAAUAUGAAGCAAUAGUAAGAGGAUGAUGUGAACAAUUAAAUAAAAAAGUUACAGGACAUAUAUAUUGCUUCUGUUGAGUAUCUAUUUAUCUCUUAUUAUAAAUAUUUGAUCGUGUGAUUUUUUUUCUUUUCUUUUUUUUCUUUUUUACAUUGCUGCUUUCCUUUUUUUUUCCCGUAGAAGAAUAAUGAUUGGGCGUUGGAAACACCCUCUGUUGCAUGCCUCCAGGGCACCUUUCACUUUGUCUGAGCCCGUUAACGUAUGCGGCUCAUAUUAUUUUUUCCUGGUCUGAUACAACGGUUGCUGUAAAUUAUUAUACAAAAACAUUAUACCACAUUAUAACAACAAAGAUGUAGCCAAAAAGAAAGCCAUGGAAGAAGGCCACUAUAACAACCCAAGACUUCACUCAAAAAAGAUAAUCAAAAGAUAUUAUUUGAAUUUUCUGAUCCUAUAUAGGUAUUCAAAAUCUUUCUAACAAAUAAUUGAUAUGAAAUUAAAUAUAUGUCCAUAUAGAUCCUCACAAUCACUAUGGUGGCAUCCAUAAGGAUGACUUUGAGGGUACCUUACACCUCCAAUGAACCCCCUCAUCACUCACUUUCCUUAGGUGUCCUCAGUGCCACAAAUUCGAACCUGCUCACCGUCUCCUUGGAUGUUAUUGUUACAAAUGUCUUCUUCUAAAAUUAAUUUGAUAUUAUUCACCAAAAAUAGUUUGUACUUGUUAAUGGUUAAGGAUAUAUAUCAAUUUAUAAAAUAUAAUUAAGUUUGGCAUCAUGCCACCUUUAUCAAAUUGCAAACAUAUUGGUGAAUAUAUAUAUAUAUAUAUAUAUAUAUAUAUAUUAGUAAUACUAUGNNNNNNNNNNNNNNNNNNNNNNNNNNNNNNNNNNNNNNNNNNNNNNNNNNNNNNNNNNNNNNNNNNNNNNNNNNNNNNNNNNNNNNNNNNNNNNNNNNNNNNNNNNNNNNNNNNNNNNNNNNNNNNNNNNNNNNNNNNNNNNNNNNNNNNNNNNNNNNNNNNNNNNNNNNNNNNNNNNNNNNNNNNNNNNNNNNNNNNNNNNNNNNNNNNNNNNNNNNNNNNNNNNNNNNNNNNNNNNNNNNNNNNNNNNNNNNNNNNNNNNNNNNNNNNNNNNNNNNNNNNNNNNNNNNNNNNNNNNNNNNNNNNNNNNNNNNNNNNNNNNNNNNNNNNNNNNNNNNNNNNNNNNNNNNNNNNNNNNNNNNNNNNNNNNNNNNNNNNNNNNNNNNNNNNNNNNNNNNNNNNNNNNNNNNNNNNNNNNNNNNNNNNNNNNNNNNNNNNNNNNNNNNNNNNNNNNNNNNNNNNNNNNNNNNNNNNNNNNNNNNNNNNNNNNNNNNNNNNNNNNNNNNNNNNNNNNNNNNNNNNNNNNNNNNNNNNNNNNNNNNNNNNNNNNNNNNNNNNNNNNNNNNNNNNNNNNNNNNNNNNNNNNNNNNNNNNNNNNNNNNNNNNNNNNNNNNNNNNNNNNNNNNNNNNNNNNNNNNNNNNNNNNNNNNNNNNNNNNNNNNNNNNNNNNNNNNNNNNNNNNNNNNNNNNNNNNNNNNNNNNNNNNNNNNNNNNNNNNNNNNNNNNNNNNNNNNNNNNNNNNNNNNNNNNNNNNNNNNNNNNNNNNNNNNNNNNNNNNNNNNNNNNNNNNNNNNNNNNNNNNNNNNNNNNNNNNNNNNNNNNNNNNNNNNNNNNNNNNNNNNNNNNNNNNNNNNNNNNNNNNNNNNNNNNNNNNNNNNNNNNNNNNNNNNNNNNNNNNNNNNNNNNNNNNNNNNNNNNNNNNNNNNNNNNNNNNNNNNNNNNNNNNNNNNNNNNNNNNNNNNNNNNNNNNNNNNNNNNNNNNNNNNNNNNNNNNNNNNNNNNNNNNNNNNNNNNNNNNNNNNNNNNNNNNNNNNNNNNNNNNNNNNNNNNNNNNNNNNNNNNNNNNNNNNNNNNNNNNNNNNNNNNNNNNNNNNNNNNNNNNNNNNNNNNNNNNNNNNNNNNNNNNNNNNNNNNNNNNNNNNNNNNNNNNNNNNNNNNNNNNNNNNNNNNNNNNNNNNNNNNNNNNNNNNNNNNNNNNNNNNNNNNNNNNNNNNNNNNNNNNNNNNNNNNNNNNNNNNNNNNNNNNNNNNNNNUUAAGUUUGGCAUCAUGCCACCUUUAUACUAAAUUGACAAACAUUAUUGGUGAAUAUAUAUAUAUAUAUAUAUAUAUAUAUAUAUUUGAAAUCUAUGCAUACCAAAUUUAAAUUUAAACAAGAAAAUAUACAGUACUAAGAGUUUUAAGGUAACUAUAUGUUAAAAAAAUAUUGGGGCGAUUUGGUGAUAUAAAAAUGAGAGGAUGCUGGUCAAUUUGUUGCAGUGGAAGUCAAGGCAUCAAUUUGCAUACGAAAAGAAGAGCAAAGAAGAUUAGUGGAGCUGGUCUAAUCCAAGAUUUUUUGAUAUUUAAGUCAGACAGAACUUUGAGAAAUAGAAUAGAUAUGUAGAAACAUGAAAAAGAAAACGAAGUCGAGAGCUUGUAGUCUUCCCUUAUCACUAAUUAUAGUUGGACCUUGAGCCCGUUAUGAAGAACCCAUGUCCUAUUAAAGUGGGGCUCUAAAAUUUAUAGUCUAAUAGGGUGCUGAUUUGUUGUUUUCCUUAUCUAGACCGGUCCAAUAAUAUAAUUCUAACUGAAACUGAUCAUCUGUUAUGUCAUGUAUCAAUUUACGAUUGGCUGGGCCAAUUUUGGCCGUAUCAAAAGUCUUUUUCUUUGUAGUGCUCCGGUUUUGGCUAUAUCAAAAUCCUUUUUCUUUUUCUGCUCGUGCAUGCUUUCUUUUUCAAGCAUGAAUUUGUCUAGCAUGGGAAAUAUAUUAAUAAUUUAAUCCAUACCCAAGCUAUAGAUCGUUGAGGUCUCACAAAUUUCACUUAUGCAGAUCGUAAAAAACUCACACCCAUUGAUGGACAAAUAGAGUUCUGAAUCAAAAGUAAGACCUACACUCUUAAAGGAUCAAUAAUUGAGUCGACGUGUACCCUCAGCCAACUUGACCUGGUGCUAACUCGUAGAGAUUUUUUAUAUAAUAUUUCAGCAUGACGACACCAAUGCUAUGAAAAAUAUAAAGUUCAUGUUAAUUAUCUUUUUAGCUUGUAGAAUCGCAAAUGAUCCAAGAUGCUCCAAAACAGCUUAGCAUUGGCUUAAUCCAGACUUAGACAAACAGCUGAGCUCCAACAAGUUUUGGAGCUUGACUUAUAAAUGAUGAACAUGAGUCAACAAUAAAAUCAAUAGGAAACUCGAUUCAUUUCUAUUAAAUCUUGGGUCACAGCAUAUCUAAGUUGAGGUUGAACAAACAAGAGGAUAUGAGGAUCAGGGCAACCCUUUGUUUGUUUUUUUUUUUUUGGUAUAAGCAGGCCAUAGUGUCCAAAAAAUCAGAGUAUAAAAUGUCCCGUAGGAUCCGAGAGUAGUCGACACCUUCAUUCCAGAUACAGUUUUCGAUGUACUCGGCAAUAAAAGAAGCAGCCCAAUCUAUCAUGCUAUUCACCUUUCAGAAUAUGUGUCGGACAGACAAUGCGAUGGCAUGAUGAAGGAACCUCCAGAUAACGUAGAGUAGUGGAUGAGUCUCUAGUGUUUCGUCUCAUCCUAAAUCCAGCUGACGACUAUAACCAAGUCACCCUCGAUGAAGAUCCUCUCAGCUUGCAACUCAUGUCUCACACAAAUGAUGCCCGUCCAAGUGAUAUGGGGCUCUGUCCCAGAAACAAAUGGGUCGAAGAUAUGAGAUCCCUCAGCAGCCAACAACCUAGUAUCCGGACCCUGGAUGACAUAGCUCGCACUACCUUUGCCAUCUCUGAUAUUGCCGUCAAAGUUGAUCCUAACAAACCCCGAGGGUGAAGGCUCUCAAGAAAUGAAAAGAGUCCUUUGAGCUGCUACAUACAAGUGCAAUAAGGGAGUUCUAGGAACUUGUGGGAUUAAGGGACAUGGCAGCAGUAUUAAAGCAAUAAGACUUCUUAGCUAAGCAACGAGCUCUCUCCACCAUCCAUUGUAUAGACGCAACUUUGGCUUCGAAAAUCAAGCUGUUCCUGGAUAGCUAGAUCUGAUAGGUGGUGUAAGCCAUCCUAGUACCCUAGAGCGACCUCUUGAUCAUAUUUUGGUGGAUAGUACCGCACCCAAGAAGAACAAAAGCCAUGGGCUACUAUCAGCCCCCCAAGUCUGGCCACCUAUCAUCUCUCAAAUUAGGCAUGCCCUCAGAUAACAAAGUAAGGCAUGCUCCAUCAAUUCAUCCUUUAAUUUGCAGAUUGGAUAGGAUGCAGGAAGAUUGAUGCUUUUGUCUCUAAGAAAUGUCCGAGUAAGUAGUCGAUUCCAGACAGCCUUCUAGAAGAAAAGUUUGACCUUAAGAUGGGCAGCCACACACUAAAUCCAAGUAGCUUUGAUCAUUUUCUUCGAUACUAAUCUGCUUGUUAUAGCGAGAUCUCUAAUAGAAAUCUUGGGAUAAUAAGAUCGACCCCAUACCCUCAAAUCAUGGCUCCCAUAGACAUGAAUCAGAAUAGUAAGAAUUUUAUCCACAAGCAAGCCUCUAAAAAGAUGAACGACAUCCUAAGUCCUCUAACCUUAGAGCAAGUUUUUGUUCAGUGAUAAUCACUUAUUCUUAUCUACAUUUUUUUUAGAAAAGAUAUUGUGUGAUACUAUACCAAAUGUGUUUGACUUUGACUCUAAGCAUCCUUAAGCAGACUUGCUCUUUUGGAUAGGCUGGAUUGGGCUUCGGCCAAGCUCAUCCUAACGAACCAUAUCGAUUUGUUAGUUUCGGAUCUGAUUUGAUCUGAGCCUUAGCCUACUUUUCAAAUCCGAGUUUAAGUGACUCACGCUAUCUUUCUAUCCUGUUGUUUUCAAAUCCGAGUUUGGGUGACUUAAGUUAUCUUUUUAUCCCGUGGUUUCCGCACACACACAUAUAAUAAUAAUAAUAAUAAUAUUUUAUAAAAAAAUAUUAGAGUAUUAUUAAUUCAAAUUUUCAAAUGAAUUUUGUGUCACUUGGAGUUGUUGUAUUCUUUUACAUUUAUUGUCACUAAUUUUAAUUUAUUUAUCAAUUUUUUUAAUUAAAAAUUUAAAAAUUAUUUAUUUAUUAAUAUUGUAGUCCAUCUAAAAUUAGUAUUAACUUUAGAUACAUAAUAUUUUUUUAUUCAUUAUUACAUCUAAAUAAUUAAAAAUAAAAUAAUAAUAUUUAAAAAAUUAUUUUUAUGUAUUCAACCUCAUAUAAUGUGUGGAUCUUCAACUAAUUAAAAUAUUAUAAUAGUAAUUAUCUCUCUUACAACCGUCUCCGUAACAAAGAUAAACUAGUCUGUUAAACUAUAUCUGCUGUACCAUUUCAGUGGUAUAUCAUAUCAGUCUAUUUUCGCCGCGUGGUUUUUUGGUUUUUGCUUUCGCGGGGGAGGAGCUCAGCUUAAGAAAAAAGCUAAAAUUAAAAGGAGGAAGCGCUUCCCGGCUCCUCUCCGCCUGCUUUCAAAACCUUGGCACGGACGGGGAAUAUCUGGCAGAGUGUACUGCUGCCCGACUCUAGCCUUCGACGAGGAGUUCGCCGUGAAAUACAUCGACAAGGCCCUCUUCUACGACCCUCUCAACCGCGAUCUCGCCCUCCGCGAGGCCCAGAUGCACCAGCUUGCCUCCGUCGGAAUGCUCGCGCCGUCUCGAUCCACGCCACCUACGAGGGCGUCGACUCCCUCCACCUCGUCCUCGACCUCUGCCUAGGCCCUGAUCUGUUCGCCCGCAUCUGCGGCCGUGCCCCACUCUCCGAGCAUGAGGUCGCCGCAAUGAUGCUCCCGUUGAUGGAGAUGAUCACCACAGGCCACCGUCGGAGGAUCGACCACCGAGGUGUGAAGAGGGGUUCCUAUCAUGGAGCGCUCCCUUUCUUUGUUUCGUUCCCUUGAGCGAAGGUGGCCAGAAUAGCCAUGUGGCGAAAAUUUCCCCUUCUUUCGCAUCUUUUCGAAUCUAAGAUCUCCGGCGUCCUACGCCCGAUGGCGACGGUAGGCGAAACAUCUGACCUCGUCUCUGCAACCUCUUCUUGAUCCAACCUUCGCUUCUCCUUCUGUCUUUUUCUUCCCCUUCCCCUCUUUCCCGGUUUCUUGAUUUUCUUGAAAUUUGGAUUUAUUUUUCUCCCUCCGUUUUUUCACUUCGGUAUCCAGAAUUUUAUUCGAGAAAGCCAAUGUACAUAGUUAGCCCGAAUUUCUUUAUUUUAUUUUAUUUUAUUUUAUUUUAUUUUUUCUAUUGUUAAUCCUACCUCUUGUCUUUCUCAGAUUUGGAUUAGGGUUGUUACAUAAUUAUCCCUUUGUAACCCCUUUUAGAAUGACAUAUUGUUGGUCUGAGGAACAUGAACAUGAUAGAUAUGCUUCGCUGGCCCUGAUAUUUUGCGUUUUCUUUGGCCGCGGUGGAAUAUAACACCCCGUCACUCCUCCUUGAAUUAAAGGAGUUGCAUUUCUUUGACAAUGGGAAGCGUUUGUUGAAAGCUCAGCUUCGCUUGCGUUCAGGGAAGGAGCAUGUCAACGGCCAGGAAGAGAUCCCGUUCCCAGAGAGAAGCAAUGCAGUUGCGAAGAAAAUAUUUGCCGCAUAAAAAUGCCCUGCACCACAUGGUUAUUCUUUACCAGGUACAAUUUAUUUCCUUAUCAUGUUAGUAAUGCUAAAAAUUCAAGAUUUCUUUUUUGUUGGCUCUCAUUCAUUGAAGACGUGUUUCACAAGAUAGUUAAGACCGUGAAAUUUGAUUUUUGGUUGUUCAUUACAUGAUUGUUCUUUUCUUGAAUGGUUUAGCAGCAACGAGAUAUGCCCAAAAUGUAUCAUGGUAAAUGCUGUGUUGUUUGUUGCUUGGCCUCCUCCGCCACCGGUUUCCUAUGUUCCAAUUGGAACACACACGGCUGGGAGUGUGUGUGCGUGUACCGGAGUCGUAACGAGUCUCAAUGAAAUCUGAAACAUGGGUGAAGCAUACUCUGGUCAGGAAAUUUGCUGGGUUUGUGAUUGCUGUAAGCUGCCAAGUGCCAGCCAAGCAUCACCAUGCUCUCAUGCACAUAUUCAGACAAACUGACAAAGACUGGGGUUUGCUUCAGAUGAGUUCUUUGUUGCUUUCGAUGGAAGACAACUUGACAAAGCAGAAGGAUAUAAACAAUGUUUAGAGGCUGAUCUGAAAACUGGCUAUUAAGAAAUCACAAUUAUUAUCUUUCCCAGUUCCUGAUCCAAUCAUGUUGCUCGACUACAGCCCACAUGGGAACAUUUAUGGAAUCAUCCAAUCUUUGUAAGAAAAUUUGAUCAUGUAGUACAGGCAACGAUCAUCAUACCUGAUUUCAUAUGCACAUGGUUGCAAGUAUGGCCAUUCAAAUUAGGAAGAAACCGGUGAAUUCACUUCUACAUGUAGCCGGCAGCUUUAGAUUGCUGCAAAAGUGCUCCAUGCACUUGUUUGAGGAGGUUGAGUGAAGUAAUCAUAUACUAAGUCUUGGUCAUGGGAAAUUUCUAUUGAGGGUUACUUCCCUGCUUCAGAAAUUCCCCCGAAACUAGAAUGGAUACUCACUUCCUAAGAAUUUCCUUAACAUUCUUUAAAAUUUAUUUCCUUGUAUCCACAGCUGCACCUGCUACCAGUUUUGGCAACUAAGGUUCAAAGCAUGUCAUACCCAGUGUUAUGGUGUCGAAGGAUAAGCCUCUCAUCAUGGACUCAUCCGAAUACUGAACAAAAUCUUAAACUUUGCGAAAAUGAUGUGCUUGUUUUCUAUUACACCUUCCAAACUCUACUCAUCUGACUGCAUAACUUGAUUGUUGACUAGGCUGAUAUGACUGAGUUGCUUAUGAUAUUUAUAAUGUUUCCCAUUAGACUACAGUUUCUUAAAUUUACUAAAUUUUAGGAUGUUUAUUGUGUGGUUUUAUACUUUAUCUUGGUACCUUUAUUUUUUGGGACCAACAGGGUAGCAAAAUACUAUUUAUUAGUGAUCGUUAAUUCUCCUAAAACAGAGUGAUCAGAAUUUCUUCAAGUCCUCUUAUCAUGCCUAGAUAUAAGUAUAAUACAACUAUUAUCUGGACAAAAGACAUUUUUCUCUGGUCCCUUUCCUCGGCUCUUAGGUUGGUGUAGUUCAUACUUUAAUUGCCCAACCUAAUUGGAGCAAAGAUACAAUCGUGUAUCCACUACCAUUCUUUGGCAAUUUUACUUGAGGUUAGGUUUAUGGCCCCUUCUCUGUAUAUCAUUUUCUUGGACUUUGUCUAAAUUCUGAAAGAUAAGUGAACAUCUUAAUAAAGGAAAUCAAGUAAUAGAUUUUGUCUUAUAAGAGAAUGGGUAGAUAUGAGCCAGACACACUAGAUUUCCAGUGUUUCUGAUAAAAAAUUCAGGUGCUAUAUCCACAACAAAAAAGCUUUAUAGUUUCGAAGAAAGACUAUAAUUGUCACGUCCCAAAUCCGGGACAUAAUACGGCCAUGCUAUCAAGAGGUACCAUCCUCAAUAACUCAAAAUCUAUCAAUUAUAAUCGACUAAAAUUCUUCAUAAAUAAAAUAUAAUAAAAGAUUUAAUUUCAUUAUUCAUGAAAUAAUUAAAUCAAAAUUGGUUCAGAGUAUCUAAAUCUAAAAUUAAAUAUCAAAUUCAUAUUUCAAAAUUCAUCAAUCGUUUAUUUUAUGUCCAUAAUCAUCCUAUAAAUUAUGAUUCGGCUGCAAAAUUUCCAAGCUCGCUAGUAUAGACCUUCAAGUCUGGAUGAUCUUUCGUUUCUAAUCUUAUUCAUCUGAACAGAAAAAGAAAAAGAAAAAGGUAUAAGCUACAUUAGCUCAAUAAGUAAAUCUUAUACUAUUUUAUCCGGAUCAAGCAUAAAUUUAUACAUGCAUCAAUAAAUCAUUUAAAGAAGAUAAUGAUUAUUGAAAUAUAAAACUUUCAUAAUAGUAUAUCAUAAAUAAAUCAUAGUCUUGCAUAUGCAUAAAUCAUGCAAUUUUCCUAAACAUAGUUUCUAAUGUCAUUUUACUAUCAAUCAUAAAAUUUUAAAUUAUGUUAAUUUUAUCAAUAAAAUCAUAAAUCAUUUGUCAUUUUAUCAUAUCAUGCUUCUUAAUAAUUCUUUCAGCGUAAAUACUAAGGUCACUAUUAUACCCAUGACAGGACCAUAAUUAUGUUAUACCAACUAUUAUAAUCUAUUGGUGAGGGCCAUAUGUCUAGCUACUAUAACUCGCUGGUGAGGGUCGCAUACCCAGCUACUGUAACUCGCUGACGAGAGUUAUGUGCUAAGCUACUGUAACCCGCUGGUGAGGACCGUAUAUAGCUAUCUGAGAGUCCAUAGUCAUACUUCUUAAAUCAAAUUUUUUUAAAGCAAGCAUUUUUAAAUUCUGCUUCAUUGAAUCUUACUUUCUUGAAUCCUGCAUAAAUAAAGUACAAGAUAAUUUUAUAGAGCUCAUAGUUAAUAAAUAAUUUUUAAUAAUCAAAUAUUCAUGAAAUCAUUCUUUUCGUAAUAAGGCAUACAUUUCAUAAAUAUGGAGUUUAUAUUUCAUAAAAAGUCAUUCAUAUUAGAAUAGCCAUAAAUCAUUAUUUUAUUACGAGUCAUGAAUUUCAUAAUGCACAUGCUUGAUUUUUAUUUUAAGAAAAUAUAGAAUAAUUCUUUUCAUGAUAAAGUAGUUGAUAAUUUCAAAAACAAAUAAGAAGUGUCCGGAUUAAUUACCUUUUUUUGUCCCAGCUCUUUAAGCUUUACUUGAUGAAUUUAUCAAACCUAUUUAAUAUAUUAAAAGCAUAAUUAAUUUUUAUUCAAUAAAUUCAAUCACAAGAAAAGAAAACUACAGAUUGAGUGGUCGGUUCAACAGCCUAUCCGGACAUCAGGGUAAUAUAGGGCCUCUUAACUGAGAAUUAGAUCUAAGUGACUCAAUCAAGAAAUUAUGAAGCAUGGAUUGGAAUCAAGACCAAAAUCAAUCAACAUGAUUCAUCAAUAGAGAAUUUCAACGAUAUUUGACAUGGUCAGGAUGGGAUCCGAUAUCUUGCACAGAUAUCGAAGCAAUACUGGGCCUCUUUAGAAAAAUUAUUUUGAGUUUAUAUUGGGGUCUAUGGAUCAAGUAGAAAGAGAAAGAUGGUGUAGAGAGAAAAAUCCUAAAGAAGAGAGAGAGAUAAGAGAGGGAUCCCUUCUCUCUCUUUCUUUUUCUUUCCUUUUCUUCUCUUUUCUUCUCUUCUUCUUUUCUUUUCUUCUUCUUUUUCUUGGCCGAGCAGAUGAGGGACACUGAUGGUGGUUCCUGACUAGAAGACUAGCAUCAGAUCAUGACAGUAAGUGGCUGACAGUGGUGGAGCAAAAGACGGCCGGUGACAAAGACUGAUCGGUGGGAAAAACAUGGGAAAGGGCCUAAAAAUAGGAGAUCCGAGGGCUUUUCAUCAUUUUGGCUGUUGGCUGCUCGCCAAUGGCCAUGAUUUUGUCAUGAAGGGUCAUAGGGAGGCUGAGGGCUAUGAUCUAGAGAUGCGGUACCAUGGAUGGUGGCGUUGGUGGUCGACAAAAGAGGAAAAAGGGCUUAGCUAAACAGAGAAAAAAUAGGACCCUUUGUUUUUUUCUUUUUUUUUGUGUUUUCCGGCGAACUCGUCGGCCACUGGUUGUGCGUAGAGGCACGGGAAGAACAAGAAGAGAAAGAGAAAGAGGGGUUCGGCUUACCUUGAACUCCGAUGGAUUUUCUGGCGAUGAUUUUGGGCAGACAAAGGUCAGGGCAUCCGUGGCUUCAACGGAAAGAAAAUGAGGAGAACAAAGAGGAAGAAGGUCAGUGUUUAUCAUGGACGGCUUUGAAGGAGGGAGGAAGGGAUUUAUAGGAUGGAGAGGAGGAUGAAUCCAGGUAGGAUGGAGAGGAGGCCGAUUCCUUUCUGGAUUCGUCUUCCUCUUCGAUGGGCUCGUGUGGAAGAAGAUUCCCAACGGGAGUCUUCAACAUUCUUUUUUUUCUCUAUUUUAUUUUUUUAUUUUCUUUUUUAUACUUUAAGAUUCGUGUAAGGAGGGGUUUUAGGAAUGGACAUCACAUUCUACUCUCUUUAAAAAUAAUUUUGUUCUCGAAACUUAGCAUACCUUCAUUUUUACAUCAGUAAAGAUGCUUAGUCUUCAAAUCAUCCUCGUUAUACUUUUGCUAUGCCACUUUCAUCUAAGCUAUACUUCUAGAUCUUAUAUUCUGAACUAUUUUUUAUUAAUUGGCUUCAUCUUUCAAGUAAUACAAUUUUCUUCUUUUUUUUUUAUUUUUCAGUACAAAUUCAUCAUGAAUAUUUUAUAAUAGAAAUGGCUCAUUCAAUUUCUAAAAUAGAUAAUUCAAAGAUAUAGUAAACCGUAAAAGAAUGGAAGAGCUAUAAUCAAUAUUCAUAUGGACAUCUCCUUAAAUUGGUUGAAAUUGUAUCUGUCGCAAUAUUAUUGCUCGUUGUAGUAUCCUGUAGAGUCAAGGCAGAUAUUCAUGCAUUCUUUUUUUGUACUUGUUCAACUAAACCAACAGCUUUGGAGUCAUUUGUUUUCUUAUUAGGACAUUCUUAUGCCAAAUGUCCCCACUUGUCACACAGAUAACAUGCUAUAGCUUCUUAAGAUAAGGAUCAUGAUGAUUUUUACUGCAAUAUUCAUAAGUCUCUGUUUUCUUUUUCUUUUUAGAGUUGUUCUCUAGGUUUCAUGUCGGUCAUCUUGAGUUUCUAUUGGUUUAGAUCUCUUCUUAUUUGUCCUUUUUUGCUUUGAUCUUUUAAUAUCCGAUUCAACUUUCAAAGCUUAUUUCAAUGCAUCCUUGUAGUUGUUAAAAAGAUGAGAGGAUAAGCAAGAUCGAAUCUUAUAUCCUAAAUCAUGCUCAAAUCUAUUUGCUUUGCUUCUUUCAAACUCUGUGAGCUGGGAGCAAAAUCGACCUAAUUCAUUAAAUUUGUUUGCAUACUCUAGUACUAUUAUAUCAUCUUUUUGCCUCAAAGUCAAGAACUCAUUCUCCUUAACUAAUCUCACUGACUUUGAAAAAUAUUGAUCAUAAAAUAUUUUCUUGAAUUCCUCCCAUAUCAGUUAGUUAUCAAUAUUCCCAUAUGCAGUAUUUAUUGCAGCCUACCAAAACUCAGUAUUUUCUUUUAGUAUAGAAAUAGCUAGUCUAACCUAUACAUCCUCAAGAUACUGUAGUGCAUCAAAUAUCUUUUUUAUUUUUUAAAUCUAAAUCUCUGUAAUCAGAGGGUCAGGUCCAUCCUCAAAUAAUAGUGGGUUAAGCCUUCUAAACCUUUCAUAAUAUGACUCUAAAGAUGGCGUAGGUCGAAAAAUAGCUUAUAUCUGCUGUUGCUGAAGAAGGUGGGUUACUAUCUGACAUACUCCAGCAAUGUUUGCUUGAGUUACUGGGGUAUUAGGAGCCUGCUCAACUGACUGGUUGGCAUCUUCCUUCAUAAUCCUUCUUGCUCCUCUCCUCCUAGUAGCAUGGUUCGCUAAGACCAUCUCUCCUGUUGUUUAUCAUUAUCUAUCAAAAAUAUUGAUAUUGCUCAUCAUUACCUAUCUAAAAAAAUUUAUAUAUUCUUAUUCAAUUAAAUAUGAUCUAGCUAAACGAGAUCUAAUUAUCCAUUGCUAGAUUUUAAGUUCUAUCUAUGAUCAAACCUAUUGCUCUGAUACCAUAAAAUGUCACGUCCCAAAUUCGGACAUAACAUGACCACGCUAUCAAGGGAUAUCGCCCUCGAUAAUAUGAAAUCUAUUAAUCAUAAUCAACUAAAAUUUUUCAUAAAUAGAAUAUAAUAAAACAUUCAACUCUAUUAUUCAUCAAGUAAUUAAAUCAAAAUUGGUUUAGAGUAUUUAAAUCUAAAACUAAGUACCAAAUCCAUAUCUCAAAAUUCAUCAAUCAUUCAUUACAUAUCAAUAAUCAUUCUAUAAAUUAUGAUACAGCUGCAAAAUCUCCAAGCUCGCUAGCAUAGACCUUCAAACCUGGAUCAUCUUUCAUUUCUAAUCUUAUUUAUUUAAAUAGAAAAAAAAGAUAUAAGCUACACCACCUCAGUAAGUAAAUCUUAUACUAUCUUACUCGAAUCAAGUAUAAGUUUAUACAUGCAUCAAUAAAUCACUUAAAGAAGAUGAUGAUCAUUAGAAUAUAAAACUUUUAUAAUAGUAUAUCAUAAAUAAAUCAUACUCUUGCAUAUGCAUAAAUCAUACAAUUUUUAUAAAUAUAGUUUUUAAUGUCACUUUACUAUCAAUUAUAAAUUUAUAAAUUAUAUUAUUUUAUCAAUAAAGUCAUAAAUCAUUUGUCCUUUUGUCAUAUUAUACUUCUUAAUAAUUCUCUCAGACUAAAUGUUAAGGUCAUUAUUAUAUCCGUGACAAGGCCAUAAUCAUGUCAUGCCAACUAUUAUAACUCGUUGGUGAGGGUCGUAUGCCUAGCUACUAUAACCUAUUGGUGAGGACCGCGUGUCUAGCUGCUGUAACCCGCUGGCGAGGACCAGGUGCGAAGCUACUGUAAUCCGUUGGCGAGAGCCAUAUGCCAACUACUAUAACCAUUGGUAAGGCUGUACAUAGCUAGCUGAGAGCCCAUAGUCGUACUUCUUAAAUCAGAUUUUCUUAAAGCAAGCAUUCUUAAAUCAUGUUUCAUUGAAUCCUAUUUUCUUGAAUCAUGCAUAAAUAAAGUACUAGAUAAUUUUAGAGAGCUCAUAGUCACUAAAUAAUUUUUAUCAAUAAAAUAUUCAUGAAAUCAUUCUUUUCAUAACAAGACAUAUAUUUUAUAAAUAUAGAGUUCAUAUUUCAUAAAAAAUCAUUCAUAUUAAAAUAGUCAUAAAUCAUUAUUUUAUCACGAAUCAUGAAUUUCACAAUGCACAUGUUUGAUCCUUAUUUUAAGAAAAUAUAGAAUAUUUUUUUAUGAUAAAAUUAUUGAUAAUUUGAAAAAUAAGUAAGAAGUGUCAGGGUUACUUAUCCUUUUUCCAUCCUAGCUUUUUAAGCUUCACUUGAUGAAUUUAUCAAACCUAUUUAAUAUAUUAAAAGCAUAAUUAAUUCUUAUUCAAUAAAUUCAAUUAUAAGAAAAGAAGACUAUAGAUUGAGUGGUUGGUUCAACAGCUUGUCCGAGUACUGAGAUAAUAUAGAGCCUCUUAAUUGAGAAUUAGAUAUAAAUGACUCAAUUAAGAAAUUAUUAAGCAUGAACUGGAAUCAAGGCCAAGAUCAAUUAACAUGGUUCAUCAAUAGAGAAUUUCAAAAAUAUUUGACAUAACCGGAAUGGGAUCCGACAUCUUGCAUGGGUAUCGAAGCUGGGCCUCUAUAGAAAAAUCAUUUUGAGUUUAUGUUGGGGUCCGUGGAUCAAUUAGAGAGAGAAGAUGGUGUAGAGAGAAAAAUCUUAAAGAAGGGAGAGACAAGAGAGAUCCCUUCUCUCUCUUUCCUUGUCUUCUCUUCUUUUUUUCUUUUCUCUUUUUUUUUGGUCGAGUAGAGGAGGGACACAGGUGGUGGUUCUUGGUCAGAAGAUCGACAGUAAGCCAUGAUAGUAAGUAGCCAAUGGCGGUGGAGCAAAUGAUGAUCGGCGACAAGGACCAACCGAUGGAAAAACAUAGAAAAGGACUUAAAAAUAGGGGAUUCGAAGGUUUUUCUUUGUUUUGACUGUUGGCCACUCGCUAGCGGCCAUGAUCUUGUCGUGGAGGGUCAUAGAGAGGAUAAGGGCCAUGAUCCAGAUGUACAGCAUCAGGGGUGGCGGCGCCGGUGGCCGGGAAAAGAGGAAAAAAGGCUCAGCUAAAUAGAGAAAAAAAUCAGGCUCUUUAUUUUUAUUUUAUUUUAUUUUUUUGUGCUUUUCGAUGAAUCUGCUGGCCAUUGGUUGUGCACAGCAUCGGUUGUGCACAGAGACAUGGGAAGAGAAAAAGAAAGAGGGGUCCGGCUUACCUCGAACUCUAGUGGAUUUUUUGGUGAUGAUUUUGGGCAGACAAAGGUGAGGGCAUCUAUGGCAUCAACGGGAAGAAAAUGAGGAGAACGAAGUAGGAGAAGGUCGGUGUUCAUCGUGGACGGCUUUGAAAGAGGGAGGAGGGGAUUUAUAGGAUGGAGAGGAGGCUGAAUCCUUCCUAGAUUCGCAUUCCUCUCUGAUGGGCUUGCAUGGAAGAAGACUCCCAGUGAGAGCCUUCAACAUUCUUUUUUUCCUCUAUUUUGUUUCUUUUUCAUGCCCUAAGAUUCAUGCAAGGGGAUGGAGUUUUAGGGUUGGAUAUCACAAUAAUUGUUCAAGAUAUUCAUCAACCUUCUUCUACUUACCUUCAUACUUCUAUCUAGGUUCAAGUUCUGUAAUUGACACCUCAUUUGCUGACAUUGGUAUUGACUUGCUUGAAGAUUGGUCAUGCGUACCUCCAGAUAAAUCAUGUUCAUUUGAAUAAUCACCUGAAUCCAUGCCACUCUGUCCAUUGCAAAAUGCUGGUCUAGAAGGAGCCUGGAGAGAGACAGAGUUACUGUUGAGCAUCACAACAACUUGUAACAUGUUGGGUCUAUCAGAUGGAUUUUCCUGGACACACAAUAGGCCAAUGUGAACACAUCUUAACAUUUCACUCCUUGGGCAAUGUGUGCCUAAAGGUGGGUCCAAUAUCUCGAAAAUUGUUCCUUUGACCCACCGCUCCCAGACCUGCAUGAAAUGAAUUUAUUUAGUCAUCUAGAACAGAAAAUACAAUUGUAUAUAUGCAGUUGAAAGCUCACAUGGUUCACUGUGUCUUCAGCAUAUUCAGAACUAGAGAAAUCACUGUUCUUUCUGCCUGUCACGAUCUCUAAAACUAGAACACCAAAACUGUAUACAUCUGACUUGACAGAAAACUGCCCAUGCAUGGCAUACUCCGGUGCCAUAUACCCACUGUAAUAAGAUGAAUAUGUUAUAUAAAACACUCUUCGACCAACCAUCAUUAGAAUGCAUAGACUAUUCUUUUAGAUGGAGAAUGUAUAAAUUAUCAAGAUUUCUACUUACAAUGUUCCAACAACCCGGCUCGUGAUGCCCUGAGUUUGGUCCCCACCAAAAAGCCUAGCCAACCCAAAGUCUGAAAUCUUUGGGUUCAAAUCUGCAUCUAAUAAGAUAUUGCUGGCUUUUAAAUCCCGAUGUAUAAUUUUUAAUUGAGAUUCUUCAUGUAGGUACAAUAGGCCUCGAGCAAUCCCGCCAAUGAUCUUGUUCCUUUGUC
rnacentral:lncRNA from 1 species